rnacentral:rRNA from 1 species
AUUGAACGCUAGCGGGAUGCUUUACACAUGCAAGUCGAACGAGUGGCGGACGGGUGAGUAAUAUAUCGGAACGUGCCCAGUAUCGGGGUCUAACUACUCGAAAGCUUGGCUACUACCGCAUACUAUUCUAUCGGCUGUUAUCGGAUUAGCUAGUUGGUGGGGUAAAGGCUCACCAAGGCAACGAUCCGUAGCUGGUUUGAGAGGCCGACCAGCCACACUGGGACGGAGACACGGCCCAGACUCCUACGGGAGGCAGCAGUGGGGAAUUUUGGACAAUGGGGGAAACCCUGACCCAGCCAUCCCGCGUGUAUGAGAAGGCCUUCGGGUUGUAAAGUACUUUUGGCAGAGAAGCGGUAUCUGCAGAAUAAGCACCGGCUAACUACGUGCCAGCAGCCGCGGUAAUUC